rnacentral:rRNA from 1 species
UGGGGGAUAUUGCACAAUGGGCGAAAGCCUGAUGCAGCGACGCCGCGUGGGGGAUGAAGGCCUUCGGGUUGUAAACUUCUUUUGCUCUGAACAAGGCAUGCUAAUGGGUGAGUUGAGUGUAGGGGUUGAUUAGCGCCGGCUAACUACGUGCCAGCAGCCGCGGUAAUACGUAGGGCGCGAGCGUUGUCCGUAAUUAUUGGGCGUAAAGGGCUUGUAGGUGGCUGGUUGCGUCUGUCGUGAAAGCUCAUGGCUUAACUGUGGGUUUGCGGUGGGUACGGGCUGGCUUGAGUGCAGUAGGGGAGGCUGGAAUUCCUGGUGUAGCGGUGGAAUGCGCAGAUAUCAGGAGGAAUACCGGUGGCGAAGGCGGGUCUCUGGGCUGUUACUGACACUGAGGAGCGAAAGCAUGGGGAGCGAACAGG